GGAGUGGCCUUAAGGCUGGAAAUAAUCCUGUUGGCCAGGACCCCAGAGCCAUACAGAUGAGAAAGGGAUGCAGGAAAUUCUGUUGUUUACACGUGUCUGUAACACUGAGCCGCUAAAGCAGCCCAGCAAGCCCAGAGGGUCUGAAAAGAUAAAUAUGAAUUUAGAAUCCAUUUAUCGGUUAAUUGAGGAAACACAAAUCUUCGGAAUGCAGCAAUCAGCAGUUAAACCACCUCCUGACAUGGGAGCACCUGCCUCGGUCCCCAGGGACACCUUUAAUUCCUGUUGGCCACUUAAUGGGCUACAGUCUCAUGCUGCCCACAGCUUCUGUGCUCACGCGUGCAACACCAAUGAAUGGGAUAUUUGUGAAGAGCUGCGCCUGCGGGAACUUGAAGAAGUCAAGGCCAGAGCUGCCCAGAUGGAGAAGACCAUGCGGUGGUGGUCAGACUGCACAGCCAACUGGAGGGAAAAGUGGAGUAAAGUUCGAGCUGAGAGAAACAGUGCCAGGGAGGAAGGAAGACAACUCAGAAUGAAAUUAGAGAUGACAGUGAAAGAAUUGAGUGCACUGAAAAAGAAGCAAAGUCCGCCACAUCAAAAGGAGACCUUGGAAGCUAGAGUUGCCCUGAACCAGACGCGUCCUAGUUUCACAGAUGUGUCCUAUGUACAAAGGGAUCAAUUUCAAACUGGCUCGCAAGUGUGUGAGUCUAUCAGCGAGUGUCUGGUGAAAAGAGAAUUUCCCACAAAGGAGAACAGAAAUACUAUGGAAAAAGGUUUGAUUUUCGACCCAUUAAGAUUAAAUGAAGAGAAACUCCAUCUAGACUGCUCUGAUUUAUUCGAGAACAGUGGUUCCGGAAACGGUGCAAUGAGACCUGGGCUACUACAGCCAGUGGGACACCUGCCUUUGGAGGAUGGAGUGCCUGAAAUUUCCACUCUGCAGGAGCAUUUGGAUGAGCUCCAAAAAAUCCUUAGGAAAGAAAGGGAAAUGCGCUCAUCCCUGGAAAAAGAAGUAGAACGACUGGAGUCAGCUGUGUCUUUGUGGAAACAGAAGUAUGAAGAACUGAAAGAAUCGACAUCCAAAAAUAGGAAAGAGCUAGAAAGAUUGCAGGUGGAAAAUACAGUGGAAUGGGACGAGAGGGAAAUAUUUGAAACUGAAAAACAAGGACUGGAUAGAGAAAAUAGAAGGCUAAAGGUCCAGGUGAAAGAAAUGGAUGAACUCCUCAAGAGGAAAGAUAGAUUAAGUGCAAACUCCCAAGACCCUGAUUUCAAGACAUCACAAAUUGAACUGCAGGAGACAAACAAGGAGCUACUAGACCUUCAACACGCCUACGAUAGACUCAGCAGCCAACACCAGGCGAAAACAGCAGAGCUGACUCUUGCCAACCACCGAGCCGAUCAGAGUGCGGCUGAGGUAAAGAAACUGCGAUUUGGAAUGGAAGAACUAAAACAGAGACUCAACCAAAAAGAAAAUAAGCUUGAUGACGUCCUGAAUCAGAUCCAUAAGCUCCAGAAAUCUCUGGAUGAACAGAAAGAAGUCAAUGAAAACUUGGAAACUGAACUCAGGCACUUACAGAACAGUAGCUAUUUAUUGGAAGAUAUUAGAGUCCCUCAGCUGUAGAAAACCAGAUGGUUGUGGAAUACUCAACAGUUGCUGCUGCAACCGUGUAUUGUGUAGCAGAUACUGGAAACUUCUUAUACUGAUGAUGACUGAGGCAAUGAGACUGUCAUCCUGUGAAGUUUAGAAAUGGAAUAGAAAGGCUUACAUACUGUUCAUUUUGUGAUUUCCACCCUGGCUGUUGUUGUCUGCCCUAUGGAAUCGCAACCUUCCCAGCCUUACCAUUUGUAGAUCCUGAUUGUCAAAUAAUGUCAUUCUUCUAUGCAAAGAUUUUCCUCUUUCCAGAUAGCCUAAGCAUUUUGGUGACGUUAUGGUUAAUUACAUAUUGAGUUUUUCCUAUCUGUAUGUCUCAUGAUUUAUAUUCGUGUCUCAAAAAUUAACUUUAUUGUUACUAUUGGAUCGCAUUUUCUAUCCUAUUUUUUGUAAAGUACCAUGAUUCUAUCACAUUCAAUUAUUUUAAUCAUCUUUUUCUGCUCAGUGUCCUAUUUCAUAUGGCAUGUCACAUUUAUAAACUAAAUGAUUUUAAGCAUAUUCUUAUAUUGCUUUAAAAGCAGAAUGUGUUUGUCUCUGUGUUUGUGUGUGUGUAGACAUAUAUAAUUAUACAAUGGAGAAUCAGUUUCCAGGUCACUGUGUUCCCACUGGAUCAUGUGAUGCUGAGUUGAGUUGGCCCAGAGAUGUUUCUGGAAAUUGUCUUCAGUUAUGUACGUCAAAUAUAAACAUAAAACUCACUGUAGGCUUUUAAUAUUCUACUAGAAAGACACACAAAAUUUUGUUUAUAUGGCAAGGCUUAGGAACACAGCUUCUUAUUAAUAGUUUGCCUGGAGACCAUGUUUAGCCCUCUGUAUACUUUUCACACUGGCCAUAGGUAUGAUAAACCUGUAUAGUCAGGUGGCCUGAUCACAUAAUAAUACCACUUUCCAAUAAAUUAAAAAAAAAUCCACCCUUAUUUCUUUCUGUGUGCCGUGUACCAUACUUGGUGGGAGUCAUGGAUGAGGCUGCCAUUGAUAUCAUGAAGAUAGACAAAAGUCCACACCUAUUUUGAAACUUAUCCAGUUACAGAUGGGUACACCAUUAUGGUCUGACUCAAGCCCAUGUCUUCUGUAUCCUAUAACUCAUUUCAAUCACUCAGUUACACUACAGCUCUGGGCCCGCAUACAAAGAUGUUGCCAUAUUUGAAGGAGAAUAGGGGAAGUCUGAUACUCAAUUUUAUUUUCACCAGAGGUGCCCCUAUGACAUUGUAAACACUGAAUUAAAUAAAUCUACUUUUGAAUUAGAA